rnacentral:rRNA from 1 species
UACGUAGGGGGGCAAGCGUUGUCCGGAAUCAUUGGGCGUAAAGAGCGUGUAGGCGGCCCGAUAAGUCCGCCGUGAAAGCCCCAGGGCUCAACCCUGGGAUGCCGGUGGAUACUGUCGGGCUAGAAUCCGGAAGAGGCGAGUGGAAUUCCUGGUGUAGCGGUGAAAUGUGCAGAUAUCAGGAGGAACACCGAUAGCGAAGGCAGCUCGCUGGGACGGUACUGACGCUGAGACGCGAAAGCGUGGGGGAGCGAACAGG